rnacentral:rRNA from 1 species
UGAGAGUUAGAUUCUCCUUAAGUAACUUUGAUGACGAAGAUGUUGAUAGGCCGGGUGUGUAAGCGCAGCGAUGCGUUGAGCUAACCGGUACUAAUGAACCGUGAGGCUUAACCUUACAACGCCGAAG